rnacentral:rRNA from 1 species
AGAGUUUGAUCAUGGCUCAGGACGAACGCUGGCGGCGUGCUUAACACAUGCAAGUCGAACGAUGACGACCGAGCUUGCUCGGUCUGAUUAGUGGCGAACGGGUGAGUAACACGUGAGCAACCUGCCCUUCACUCUGGGAUAACCUCGGGAAAUCGGGGCUAAUACCGGAUAUGAGCUCCUGUCGCAUGGCGGGUGUUGGAAAGUUUUUCGGUGAAGGAUGGGCUCGCGGCCUAUCAGUUUGUUGGUGAGGUAGUGGCUCACCAAGGCGAUGACGGGUAGCCGGCCUGAGAGGGCGACCGGCCACACUGGGACUGAGACACGGCCCAGACUCCUACGGGAGGCAGCAGUGGGGAAUAUUGCACAAUGGGCGAAAGCCUGAUGCAGCGACGCCGCGUGAGGGAUGACGGCCUUCGGGUUGUAAACCUCUUUCAGCAGGGAAGAAGCGAAAGUGACGGUACCUGCAGAAGAAGCGCCGGCUAACUACGUGCCAGCAGCCGCGGUAAUACGUAGGGCGCAAGCGUUGUCCGGAAUUAUUGGGCGUAAAGAGCUUGUAGGUGGCUUGUCGCGUCUGCCGUGAAAACCCGAGGCUCAACCUCGGGCGUGCGGUGGGUACGGGCAGGCUAGAGUGUGGUAGGGGAGACUGGAACUCCUGGUGUAGCGGUGAAAUGCGCAGAUAUCAGGAAGAACACCGAUGGCGAAGGCAGGUCUCUGGGCCAUUACUGACACUGAGAAGCGAAAGCAUGGGGAGCGAACAGGAUUAGAUACCCUGGUAGUCCAUGCCGUAAACGUUGGGCACUAGAUGUGGGGAACAUUCCACGUUUUCCGCGUCGUAGCUAACGCAUUAAGUGCCCCGCCUGGGGAGUACGGCCGCAAGGCUAAAACUCAAA